rnacentral:tmRNA from 1 species
GGGGGCGAUCUGGUUUCGACCGGGCGAACGGAAGUGUGGUGAGCGUGCCGUGGUUGAUCGGAUGGCCACGUAAAUAUCCGAUCGCACUACAACUGCUGAACCGCAGUUGACCCUGGCGGCCUAAGUAGGCCUCCCCAUGUCGUGAUCCCCGCCUGAGGGGUUGCGGCGCGGACGUAAGUCAGGCUCGCUUGGGCUGGAAAUCCCGCAAGGGGUUAUGCUGGUGGAAGCCCGGGCUAAAACUCACAACCGGCUAGUUGCUCUCAAACCUGCUGUUCGGUGGGAGAGGAAUGAACACGACUGGCUGCCGCAAGGCAGGCCCGUCAACUAGAACCUGCUACGCAUGUAGAACACCACAUGGAAGCGCUUCGGGACCGGGGUUCGACUCCCCGCGCCUCCAA